AACAAACCGAGCACACGGUCCGCCUGAAAUCCCACCAACGUCACCCUCAAUCGAACUUCUUCGUGGAGUAUAAGAGAGACAUCGGGGACCCUUCGACCCUCAUCCAUCUCGCCCAAGUGCCACGGAACCGUGAGUGGGGGAUAGGAUUUCCUGCGGUGGUGACCACGGACCGCCGACGUGAUUCUCUGCCAUCGAUGGGACUUGGAACGCAGGAUUGAGCCAUGUGUUCGCCGAGGCACCCCGUGUGUGUUGGUGGGCUUCUCGGGCAUGGACAUCAACCAGGAUCGAGGGAAUUCCUCACCGGCGUUCGAGACUCACCGUGGGUAGGAGUCCCUGGGUCGCCAUACCUGGUCAAGAACAAGUACCGCCAGAUGAGGAGCAGCAAGGAUGUCGCGAUGAGUUCAUGAGAGGUCUAGGUCGUCGUCUCCUAGUCAACAAUGGAUGUGGUGGAUCGUUGUCUUCUUAUGAUGUAAUAACUUAGCUAUUUUCUCUUCUAAAGACAAAAGAGGAUUUCACACCUUGGAUCAUGUACCUAAAGUGACCCUUAGGAAUAGUACCCCUAAUCCUAGGAAUAAAAAAUUAUCAUUUUUGUA